UGCCUGUGAUGAGUAAAUUGAAUAAGAGUAGUGGACAGAAGUGAUUUCUGAGAACUUGAAUCUGAGGCA